rnacentral:lncRNA from 1 species
CCCUUUGCUGACUCUCUUUUCGGACUCAGCCCGCAGGCACCCAGGUGAUUAAAAGCUGUAUUGCUCACACAAAGCCUGUUUGGUGGUCUCUUCACACGGACGCGCAUGAAAUUUGGUGCCGUGACUCAGAUCGGGGGACCUCCCUUGGGAGAUCAAUCCCCUGUCCUCCUGUUCUUUGCUCCGUGAAAAAGAUCCACCUACGACCUCAGGUCCUCAGACCCACCAGCCCAAGGAACAUCUCACCAAUUUUAAAUCGAGACCCCACUGGAAAUCGGACUGUCCAACUCACCUGGCAGCCACUCCCAGAGCCCCUGGAACUCUGGCCCAAGGCUCUCUGACUGCUUCCCAGAUCUUCUUGGCUUAGCGGCUGAAGACUGACACUGCCUGAUCACCUCGGAAGCCCCCUAGACCAUCACGGACUCCGAGCUUCGGGUAACCUUCACAGUGGAAGAAGGCAGGAAUGUCAGGCCUCUGAGCCCAAGCCAAGCCAUCGCAUCCCCUGUGACUUGCACAUAUUCGCCCAGAUGGCCUGAAGUAACUGAAGAAUCACAAAAGAAGUGAAUAUGCCCUGCCCCGCCUUAACUGAUGACAUUCCACCACAAAAGAAGUGAAAAUGGCCUGUUCCUGCCUUAACUGAUGACAUUGUCUUGUGAAAUUCCUUUUCCUGGCUCAUCCUGGCUCAAAAACCUCCCCCACUGAGCACCUUGCAACCCCCACUCCUGCCCGCCAGAGAACAAACCCCCUUUGACUGUCAUUUUCCUUUACCUACCCAAAUCUUAUAAAACGGCCCCACCCCUAUCUCCCUUUGCUGACUCUCUUUUCAGACUUAGCCCGCCUGCACCCAGGUGAUUAAAAGCUGUAUUGCUCACACAAA